rnacentral:rRNA from 1 species
UACGUAGGGUGCAAGCGUUAAUCGGAAUUACUGGGCGUAAAGGGCGCGUAGGCGGCCUGUUAAGUCGAACGUGAAAUCCCCGGGCUCAACCCGGGAACUGCGUCCGAGACUGGAAGGCUUGAAUCCGGGAGAGGGAUGUGGAAUUCCAGGUGUAGCGGUGAAAUGCGUAGAUAUCUGGAGGAACAUCGGUGGCGAAGGCGGCAUCCUGGACCGGUAUUGACGCUGAGGCGCGAAAGCCAGGGGAGCAAACGGG